CUCCUAAGGUUUCACGUGGUAACCCACACUCAUAAUCUUCAUUUUCUUCUUUUUUUUUUCUUUUUUUUUUUUCCAUGUCUCAGACUUUUGUAUGUACAGAUUAAGGAAGUGCAUUGCUGUAGGCCACAUUGAGAGCUUCAGGAGCAGUUUGUCUUCUUGCUUCAUAAAGACAAAUCUAGGUUGAGUACUUGCUUUGUCUUCUUACAUAUUGAAAGCUUUUUCUUUACUCAUUCUCUCAAUCAAAGCUAACCAUGAAUUUUGAUUCAAGAUAGGGAGGGGCUGUGCGACACAGCCCCCCUUUUUUUUAGUUCAUUACCUUCUUUUUUUUUUUUUUACUAUGUUGCCCCUUAUUUUGUCUCUUUGCAAACAAAACACGAGAACAAAGUCAGCCACCAUUUUUUACUCCAUUCUUUCUUCUUCCUUACUCCUUUUUUUUCAAUCAAAGCAGACCAACAGAGGGAGGGAGGGUUGUGCGUCACAGCCCCCUUUUAUUGUUUUUUUCAACUCCUCUUUGUUUUGUUUCUUUGCAACAAAACACAACAAGCAAACCCACCAUUUUUCUUUUGCUCCGUUAUCUCUUCCUCCGCUGGCUCUCUUCUCCUUCUCUUUUUUUUAUCUUUUUUUUUUUCUUUGUUGACUUGCUGGCGGCAGGUGCCCAUAGGGAGGCAAUUCAAUUGCCGUGAGACCCUUUUAUUUUUAGAUGCUCCAUAUAGAGGUUUUUACACGCCCUCCUUCUUUGAUUUUGAUUCCAUAGUGACCCCCAUAUCCUCCUUAACUCUCCAUGAUUUGAGACAUCCCCUGCAUUUGGAAGCAUUUAACCGGAGUUGCCUGUUGGAAAUAUGAUGAUUGAAAUCAUCAUGGAAGACAAUCUUCCCUAUUGGUGGUGGACUGAAAACAUCGAUGGAAUUAUUUUAGCGGAGCCAAGCCUUGGAGAGAUUCUUAACUUUGUUUAUGAUGAUUGAAAUCAUCAUAGCCAAGAAUCUCUGUGGACUGAUUAAA
rnacentral:lncRNA from 1 species